CAAGUACUCCCUCCGUCCAGAAAAACUUGUUGAAGAAAUGGAUAAAAAUAGAUGUCUCUAGAACUAAAAUACGUCUAGAUACAUCCAUUCCUCUGACAAGUAUUUCCGGACGGAGAGAAUAGUAG
rfam:Triticum aestivum genome assembly, contig: Triticum_aestivum_CS42_TGACv1_scaffold_361556_4DS